rnacentral:rRNA from 1 species
CACGGGGGUUGCGAGCGUUGUCCGGAAUUACUAGGGCGUAAAGGGCAGGCAGGCGGAUCCAUAAGUUUAUCGUUUAAGGCGUCGGCUUAACCGGCGUAGGGCGGUAGAUACUGUGGAUCUGGAAUGCGGUUGGGGAAGACAGAAUUCCUGGUGUAGCGGUGGAAUGCGCAGAGAUCAGGAGGAAUACCGAAGGCGAAGGCAGUCUUCCAAGCCGUUAUUGACGCUCAACUACGAAGGUGUGGGUAUCAAACAGGAUUAGAUAUCCCCGUAGUCCCUGAGCGGG